AGUGAACGCUGGCGGUAGGCCUAACACAUGCAAGUCGAACGGCAGCACCGUAAGAGCUUGCUCUUACGGGUGGCGAGUGGCGGACGUGUGAGGAAUGCAUCGGAAUCUACUUUUUCGUGGGGGUUCACGUAAGGAAACUUACGCUAAUACCGCAUCCGACCUACGGGUGAAAGCAGUGGAUCUUCGGACCUUGCGCGAUUGAAUGAGCCGAUGUCGAGUUAGCUAGUUGGCGGGGUAAAGGCCCACCCAGGCGACGAUCCGUAGCUGGUCUGAGAGGAUGAUCAGCCACACUGGAACUGAGACACGGUCCAUACUCCUACGGGAGGCAGCAGUGGGGAAUAUUGGACAAUGGGCGCAAGCCUGAUCCAGCCAUACCGCGUGGGUGAAGAAGGCCUUCGGGUUGUAAAGCCCUUUUGUUGGGUAAGAAAAGCAGCAGGUUAAUACCCCGCUGUUCUGACGGUACCCAAAGAAUAAGCACCGGCUAACUUCGUG
rnacentral:rRNA from 1 species